rnacentral:rRNA from 1 species
AGCGAACGCUGGCGGCAGGCCUAACACAUGCAAGUCGAACGGGCUCUUCGGAGCUAGUGGCGGACGGGUGAGUAACACGUGGGAACGUGCCUUUAGGUUCGGAAUAAGCCCGGGAAACUGGGGCUAAUACCGAAUGGGCCCUUCGGGGGAAAGAUGUAUGGACUGUAGAGCGGCCCGCGUCUGUUUAUCUAGUUAGUGAGGUAAUGGCGCAACAAUGCGAAGAUCAGUAGCUGGUCUGAGAGGAUGACCAGCCACAUUGGGACUGAGACACGGCCCAAAAUCAUACGGGAGGCAGCAGUGGGGAAGCUUGAACAAUGGGGGAAACCCUGAUGCAGCGACGCCGCGUGGAGGACGAAGGGUCUAGGCAUGUACACUCCUUUUACCAGGAAAGACUUAGGACGGUACCUGGUGAAUAAGCACCGGCUAACUUCGUGCCAGCCGCCGCGGUAAAAC